AUAGAUCCUGAAACCGCAUGCUUACAAAAAGUAGGAGCCUCGAAAGGGGUGACUGCGUACCUUUUGUAUAAUGGGUCAGCGACUUACAUUCAGUGGCAAGGUUAACCGAAUAGGGAAGCCGUAGAGAAAUCGAGUCCGAAUAGGGCGAUCAGUCGCUGGGUGUAGACCCGAAACCAAGUGAUCUAUCCAUGGGCAGGAUGAAGGUGCCGUAACAGGUACUGGAGGUCCGAACCGACUAAUGUUGCAAAAUUAGCGGAUGACCUGUGGAUAGGGGUGAAAGGCUAAACAAACUUGGAAAUAGCUGGUUCUCUCCGAAAACUAUUUAGGUAGUGCCUCAAGUAUUACCAUCGGGGGUAGAGCACUGUUUUGGCUAGGGGGUCAUGGCGACUUACCAAACCAAGGCAAACUCCGAAUACCGAUGAGUACAGCUUGGGAGACAGAGCACCGGGUGCUAACGUCCGGACUCAAGAGGGAAACAACCCAGACCGCCAGCUAAGGUCCCUAAAAUUGGCUAAGUGGGAAACGAAGUGGGAAGGCUAAAACAGUCAGGAUGUUGGCUUAGAAGCAGCCAUCAUUUAAAGAAAGCGUAAUAGCUCACUGAUCGAGUCGUCCUGCGCGGAAGAUGUAACGGGGCUAAGCCAGUUACCGAAGCUGCGGAUUUGCAAUUUAUUGCAAGUGGUAGGAGAGCGUUCUGUAGGCCUGUGAAGGUGGUGGUGUAAACCCUGCUGGAGGUAUCAGAAGUGCGAAUGCUGACAUGAGUGUUAAAGGGGGUGAAAAGCCCCCUCGCCGUAAGCGCAAGGUUUUCUACGCAACGUUCAUCGGCGUAGAGUGAGUCGGCCCCUAAGGCGAGGCAGAGAUGCGUAGCUGAUGGGAAACAGGUCAAUAUUCCUGUACCGAUGACAAGUGCGAUGUGGGGACGGAGAAGGUUAGCUCAGCCAACUGUUGGAUAUGUUGGUUCAAGCCUGUAGUCGUGCUCGGUAGGCAAAUCCGCCGGGCUUAGAUGAGGGGUGAUAACGAGGGUGCUUGCACCUGAAGUGAGUGAUACCCUGCUUCCAGGAAAAGCCACUAAGCUUCAGCUUGUCAUUGACCGUACCGCAAACCGACACUGGUGCGCGAGAUGAGUAUUCUAAGGCGCUUGAGAGAACUCAGGAGAAGGAACUCGGCAAAUUGAUACCGUAACUUCGGGAGAAGGUAUGCCCCAAGUAGGUGAACUCGAACAGAGGGAGCCCAACGGGGUUGCAAAAAAUCGGUGGCUGCGACUGUUUAAUAAAAACACAGCACUCUGCAAACACGAAAGUGGACGUAUAGGGUGUGACGCCUGCCCGGUGCUGGAAGAUUAAAUGAUGGGGUGCAAGCUCUUGAUUGAAGUCCCAGUAAACGGCGGCCGUAACUAUAACGGUCCUAAGGUAGCGAAAUUCCUUGUCGGGUAAGUUCCGACCUGCACGAAUGGCGUAACGAUGGCCACACUGUCUCCUCCUGAGACUCAGCGAAGUUGAAAUGUUUGUGAUGAUGCAAUCUCCCCGCGGAAAGACGGAAAGACCCCAUGAACCUUUACUGUAGCUUUGUAUUGGACUUUGAACAGAUCUGUGUAGGAUAGGUGGGAGGCUUUGAAGCUGGAACGCUAGUUUCAGUGGAGCCGACGUUGAAAUACCACCCUGGUGUGUUUGAGGUUCUAACCUAGGUCCAUUAUCUGGAUCGGGGACAGUGCAUGGUAGGCAGUUUGACUGGGGCGGUCUCCUCCCAAAGCGUAACGGAGGAGUUCGAAGGUACGCUAGUUACGGUCGGACAUCGUGAUAAUAGUGCAAUGGCAUAAGCGUGCUUAACUGCGAGACUGACAAGUCGAGCAGAUACGAAAGUAGGACAUAGUGAUCCGGUGGUUCUGUAUGGAAGGGCCAUCGCUCAACGGAUAAAAGGUACUCUGGGGAUAACAGGCUGAUACCGCCCAAGAGUUCAUAUCGACGGCGGUGUUUGGCACCUCGAUGUCGGCUCAUCUCAUCCUGGGGCUGUAGCCGGUCCCAAGGGUAUGGCUGUUCGCCAUUUAAAGAGGUACGUGAGCUGGGUUUAAAACGUCGUGAGACAGUUUGGUCCCUAUCUUCCGUGGGCGCUG
rnacentral:rRNA from 1 species